UAUUUUUUGAGUGUUUUAUCAUCUGGAAUGCCAUUUGACUUAUUAAAAAUCGUUACUGUUAAUAUCACGAAUAAAAACAUUGUUUUCUUCUUCAUCAAAAAAAUAAUUAUUUUCUUUACGCCAAUUUUAAAAACNCGUAUACAAUACGUUAUGAACUUAAAAUGAAUCUAUUGAAGUUUUGUCUUUUCAAUCACCUUUUUAUUCUGUAGUGCUAUUGAGAAAUGUUUUAUUUAAACAAUUUUAGAGCUAUCGAUUCACUCCUUGGAAAUC